CAACCGUCUUCUAGCCCUCGUAAGCUGAUAUCAGAAAUCAUCACACAGAGAAAUUCACGUUAAAUAGAGAAAAUGGAAUUAAUAACUGAAAAAGAAGCCUUACCCUGUUUCAAAUAACAAUAGUAAUACCUGGGAAAAUCAAAGAGAAUCACAGCUGAUGAAAAAUUGAAACUAAACCAGCUAGUGUAUUGAUUACUAACCCUCAAAUGAUACCAUCUUCAAUGAAUGACGUCUCUUAAAUUUAGCAGUUAGUUUUAUCCUUCUUUCAAACUCUUCCCCAAGAUCAUUAAUCCUUCCCCACAUUAUUAAUUCUGCCAGCAUCACAUUGACGUUAAAAACACAAUAGCAGACGCAAAUUGUUCAGCCUCCCAUUCAGAGAAAAAAUUGAUUUUUCACAAAAAUCUUUCCCAAUUAUUGUUCAUCCUAAUCUGCUUACCCAUCUUUAGUUUUUUUAAAAAAGUACAUAUUCUGCUUGCACCAAAAUUUUUAAAAUAAAAAAAAAAUCUACUUGCUCAUCUAUAUCUACAUCAUCAAACUUUUCGUAUCAUUUAACGACUCCAUUUUUUCUUAAUUUGGAAUAUAAUGCUUCAUAAUGAAUAUGUGACCCAUACUUCUUAGCUAAGCUUUGCUUAUACUUUCACUAAAAUUCUCUUACCAUGAUUACUCAAAAGAAAAUUUUUAUAACAAAUAAAUUCAACAGAAGACUAAUAUCAUCACUGACCUGUUUCUCUAUAUGAAACAAAUAUGGAAAUUUCUUAGGCUUUGAACAAAUUCUAUAAAAUUAAUCAACUCAUAGCAACUCCUGCAUUCCAUAUGAUUUUUCUAUUAUAUCUACAUCCUAUAUAGACAUUUAUGAUCAUUACUUCUUUCAAGAUUUGACUUUAAAAUGUUGGCUGCUCAAUGAACAUUUCUGAUAGGCUCAUUAUGCUAAACGAAACUGAUAAAUCAGACCUGGAAAUCAAUUAACAGACAGUCCUUAAUGAUUAAAAUGCCUAGAACAAUAAACCUCCCCAUUGAACAAUAAAAAGAGAUAUGCAACUCUUAUAUUGAUCCACAUUCAAUUAGGAUGUCCCCGAAUUUAGUUAAGCACUCCGGCUUAUUCAAACAAAAUU
rnacentral:misc_RNA from 1 species